AUGGCCACAUCACGUUGAAACACUAGUUCUCGUACGAUCGCCAAAGUUAAGCAACGUCGAGUUUGGUCAGUAACUAAUUUAGUGACAGCUUGGGAAUUGCAGGUGCUGUCA